rnacentral:rRNA from 2 species
GAGUUUGAUCUUGGCUCAGAGCGAACGCUGGCGGCAGGCCUAAUACAUGCAAGUCGAGCGCACCUUCGGGUGAGCGGCGGACGGGUGAGUAACGCGUGGGAAUGUGCCCUUUGGUACGGAACAACUGAGGGAAACUUCAGCUAAUACCGUAUGUGCCCUUCGGGGGAAAGAUUUAUCGCCAUUGGAGCAGCCCGCGUUGGAUUAGCUAGUUGGUGGGGUAAAGGCCCACCAAGGCGACGAUCCAUAGCUGGUCUGAGAGGAUGAUCAGCCACACUGGGACUGAGACACGGCCCAGACUCCUACGGGAGGCAGCAGUAGGGAAUCUUGCGCAAUGGGCGAAAGCCUGACGCAGCCAUGCCGCGUGAAUGAUGAAGGUCUUAGGAUUGUAAAAUUCUUUUCACCGGGGAAGAUAAUGACGGUACCCGGAGAAGAAGCCCCGGCUAACUUCGUGCCAGCCGCCGCCGU